ensembl:misc_RNA Y_RNA Y RNA
GGCUGGUCCAAGUGCAGUGGUGUUUACAACUAAUUUAUCACAACAGGUUAGAUUGCUUUCUUCCUUCUCCACUCAAACUGCUUCACUUGACUAGCCUUAA